rnacentral:lncRNA from 1 species
ACUCCUUCCUUCUUUUCAGGCUUCUGAUAGGAGGACUGUAGUGGAGCUGGGGUGAGGCUAGGGAAUUAGAGUGGGGCUGGGUGGGGGAAGAAAGUUGUUCCAAAUAUUAACUGGUCUUGUGAGGUGGCCUCUUGGCGGGAGCCUGACCACCUAACUUCCUGUUUUUCCUCCAGCUGCCUCCUCCCCUCCCUCUGCUCUAGGCUGGAACUAAGCUGAGGAAGGAAGGAGGAGCAGCAAAUUUGGCUGGAGUUGCUUGUCUGAUUCCCUGCAGGCUGGGGGCCAAGACAUUCUCCCUCAACAAGCAGGGGGGAGCACAUAUAGUCCCGGGUCGGGUUGUUGCGUCUCUGCACUUGCUCCUCUGUCCACAGCAGGAACAAGAGGCUCCUGGAAAACCCCAGCUCCUUGCCAGCUCUUCCAUGAGCACAUCCUGGUCCUGGUGCCUAAGAUCUCUCCAUGCAGGAGCAGCCGGGAACUCCAGAGGCGGUGGCAACGCCAGCCACACCACCCGCUCCACCGCCUCCUGCCCUGCCACCCAGCCAGCUGCUGGUCCCAUCACUGCCAGUGUUUGUGGACCACGCAAAACAGCCAAGCAAGGAGCUCAUUAAGCCCAAAGCAAUUUUAGGACGGCCAGUAGAAAGACCCACAGAGGCUGCUGCUGCUGCUGCUGCUGCUGCUGCUGCUGCUGCUGCUGAGUGCCCGGGACUGGGCGACAGGGGAUUUGGAGUCAAGAACCAUCACUGUCAGGUCUGCAGACCCCCAAGCCAGUUUCUCAAGUCAGGCACCUCCUACUCCCUGUGGAGACCUAGGGAUUUCUAAGGCCUUCCAGCUCCCCCUGUCACCCCCAUCUUCACUCCCCAUGCCCUGCACUUAGCCUCCCUUGGUGGCUCCUCUUUGUAUUCCCUUCCCCAUCUCAUCCCACACCCAUCCCAAGUUUUCAAAGUGACAACAGAGGAUUAAGAGACACCCCUGUUCCUAUCUUGGUCAUUUAGUCUGCAGUUGCCUGUGACUUCCCAUGCUGUAUAUUGUGGCACAACUGUUCUCUCAGAGCCACCAGGCAUGUAUCAAGAGCUCCAGAAAGACAUCUGUUUCCAGGCUAGGCUGUUUUUUUUCCUGGAAUUGCUGGGCCAAGGAGAGACUCUGGCCAGUCACUGUGAUCACACCUGAGAGCUCGCUGUCCUGAUUUCUGAAGACCCAGGAGAAAGAGUCAGCCCCCCAGCUCACUGCCUGGGGUAGCCACCCUUGGGUACCUGGACUGCCACAUCAGUUCUGUGGCCCUCUGCCCCCUCCUUGCCCUGGUCAAGCCUGGGAAGGGAGAGGAAGGCAAGAGGACCCCAUCCUAACCGCUGUCAUCCCUCCUCUUGCCAGCGGAUCUGAGCCAGCCAAGAAGCAGGCUCACAGUUUGCCAUGGAGGGCUCGGGUGAUAACUGAACCUGAAUGUGAGCGGCAUGCGCUGCGAGACCUACAUCAGCACCUUGCAGGCCUUUCCAAGCAUCCACCUCUACAAGCUGACCGAAACAUCUCAGCCUGACGCCACAGCUGCUCAGGGGCCAGUGGUCUGAGAGUUUUUCUUUGAACGCAAACCUGAGCUCUUUAGCUAUGUGCUGGGCUACUACCAUACUCGGCAGUUGCACUGCCCUGCCGAUGUUUGUUGGAACGUCCUAGAGGAGGAGUUGGCUUACUGGGGCCUGGUGGAAGUGCCACUGGCACCUUGCUGCUGGCUCAAGCUAAGUGGCAGGGACACUCAUACCCAAGACUUCCUGUCUUGGGAGGCAUGUGAGAGUGCCCACACAGAUGAACGCCUUCUGCUGAACCCGUUUAAAGGCCAGGGACUACGGAAUGCUUGGAAACCAUGACUCUGGGUGCUUCUUGACUAAUCCCGAUCUUCCCUAGGGGCCAAGGUAACUAAUUAAUAGUGUGUGGCAUCAUGCUAGACACUUUUACCCCCAAAGGGCCCUGCCAAGUUGCCACAAUGGCAACACACUGGGCAUGGUGCUUGGGACCUGAAUCUACAGACCCCCAGAACAAUUCGAGGGCAUCCCUCAAAAGGGAGGCAAAGAAGGGUGAGAGUAUAGUUAGAGAUGGCUGAUAAAUGAGGGGACUUCUGACAUGCCUCUUUUCCCCCAGUACUUUUCCCUGAUCUCUACACUCUUUGCUGUGUGUUCCCUGGUCAUCAUCUUUGGGGAGACGAAGGUCCAGCUGGAUUACUUCUCUGCCAACUUCAUUCCUAUGGGACAGGGGGUGGGGGUGUGGGAGUACCAACAGCAGCAGCAGCAGCCACCCCCGUGCCCUGCACCUGCUCUACCCUGAUAAGAUGCACUUCCUGUGCAGCCCUCUCAAUCUGGCUGAUAUCUUCUGCUUCUUCCCUAUGUUGAUGGAAUUGGUGGUGGGUGACAAGGCUGAACGGCAGCCUCAUCUUAACCUAACCCUUGGAGCCAUUCGUUCUCUCUGUGUCCUCAAACUGGUUUGUCCCCUGGGCUUUCUUGAAAAGUCCCUGGCCCUGAGGGUCCUGGUUCAUACUCUCCAUUCUUCCUGGAAAGAGGUGUGUGCCUUUCUCCUGAUUUAGGUGGCUGAAAUCUUAUUCUUGGCUUGCUCUUCCUGUAUGGGGAGCUCUUGGGCAUGUCUACCCCAGGUCAGGUUGAACCUCACUUUGGAGACAUCUUUAUAUGUCUUUGUUGAACUGUCAUAACUCUCAUCACUGUUGGCUAUGGAGAUAUCUACCCUCUCUCUGCUCUGGGCCAGCUCACUGGUGCUGUUACAGCCACCAUGGACAUAUGCACUGGUGUCUUGCUGAUGCUUGUGAUCCUGGUCCACUUCCAGUGCUAUUAUGCUUGCCAGAAACUAAGGCCCAGUGGGGUCCUAUAAUGGGUCCAUUGGUCAAGAGGGGUGGACCCCACCUUCCUUUCCUUCCUUUUACUAGUUGUAGUUACAGAUAAGAAUUUCUGGCUUUAGAUUUGGCAAAGAAUCAUUCAGGAGGAACCUCAGGUCAUGGCAAUUCCUGUUAGUCAGAAUAAGCUAACCAUGGCCAGACUCUUCCCCAUGAUCAAGGGGACACCCUGGAGGAAAGGGCUUAGGGGCAAGGCUAGGUAGGCCUCAGCUUUCUUCUGCCCCACCCAAGGCCUUUCUCUUGAUCCUACAGUGACCAAGAAGGAUAGAGGGUAGUUUUCCUAGAUUGGUGCUAUAUCCCCCUCUCAACCAGUUCUCCCCUCCCAUGCCCUCAUCCUUGCCCCAUGUCAGCUAGAGCCUAAUCUAGAUGGGGGGCUUUUGAGUGAUGGUAGCUGUAGGAUAUCAACAUUGGUUGCCUAUGGGUAUCAAUGGUGAUUGGCUGUGGGUAUCCGUAGCAAUUGUCUGUGUCAGCAACUGCUUAUGGGUAUUGAUGAUGACUGGUACCUUUAGUGCCCAGGCAUAGCCAGAUUGUAGCAUUGCUCCCCAUACUGCUCCUGGUACAAAUGCCCCUUAGAGUCGUAAGGAGGCUUUUGAAGAUUCUCAGAGACUUCAAGCAGAUGCGGAUCAGCCAGGUCUGAACCCAUAGCACUCUAACUGCAUGACCUCUUCCUCAUCCCAUUUUAUCCUUGCCCAUUCCUCCCCUCUCCUCCCCAUCUCUGUUUUUUCAUAAUAUUUUACAAAUAGUAUUAGCCAUCAUGAAUCAAUAUAUAUUAGUCAAUAUUAGCCACAGUAUCUCAACCACGAUAACAGUGUGUAGUCACUAAUAGACAUGAAAUGUUAUCAUAGCACAUUACAUGGAUAGGAACGAGGAAACUGGGAUUGUCUGCAAGAAUAGGUAAGCAAUUUCCUCUUUCAUAUUUUUAAAACAUAUGUUUAGAUUUUACUCAUUUAUAAUUCUUUUUUACUUUUCCAAACACUUUUCAGUACCCACAACGGGUCUACCUCCAAUCCUCACUGCUAUAGAAUAGUGCUACCUUCCCACCUCUUCUUCUACUUUUUUUUUUUUUUUACUACCUGUGUGCUCUUCCCUCCUGGCUUUUCCCUAUGGUGCCUCCCACCUUGUAUCUCUCUUGGAACUGGCUUCCAGGGGAAGAGAAGGGACAUCCUCAGGUCUGACUUCAAAUCAAGCCACUAGGUUAUCUGAAGAAGUAUCCCAAGAAACUGGGCUGAGCUGGGAGGUUGAAUUGAGCCAUCACUGUUGCUGAAGCUGUGAGCAUAAUUCUGUUUACCAAAUGUUUAAAUAAAAAAUCCUUUG